GAUGAACGCUGGCGGCGUGCUUAACACAUGCAAGUCGAACGGGAAUUCUGUUAUUGAAACUUAGGUCGAUUUAAUUUAAUUCUAGUGGCGGACGGGUGAGUAACGCCUGGGUAACCUUCAUUAUACAGGGGGAUAACAGUCAGAAAUGGCUGCUAAUACCGCACAAGCGCAUAGAGCUGCAUGGUACAGUAUGAAAAACUCCGGUGGUAUAAAAUGGACGCUCGUUGGAUUAGGUGGUUGGUGAGGUAACGGCCCACCAAGGCGACGAUGCAUAGCAGGCCUGGGAGGGUGAACGGCCAGAAUGCAACUGGGACAAAGCCAGGACUUCUACGGAAGGCAGCAAUGGGGAAUAAAGCACAAUGGGGGAAAACCUGAUGCAGCGACGCCGCGUGAAAGAAGAAGUAUAUGGGUAAGUAAACUUCUAUCAGCAAGGAAGGUAGUGACGGUACCUGACUAAGAAGCCCCGGCUAACUACGUG
rnacentral:rRNA from 1 species